CAGUAGCCGCGGGAAUACGGAGGGUGCAAGCGUUAAUCGGAAUUACUGGGCGUAAAGCGUGCGUAGGUGGUGGUUUAAGUCCGUUGUGAAAGCCCUGGGCUCAACCUGGGAAUUGCAGUGGAUACUGGGUCACUAGAGUGUGGUAGAGGAUAGUGGAAUUUCCGGCGUAGCAGUGAAAUGCGUAGAGAUCGGAAGGAACAUCUGUGGCGAAGGCGACUAUCUGGGCCAACACUGACACUGAGGCACGAAAGUGUGGGGAGCAAACAGGAUUAGAGACCCCUGUAGUCCCUGUCUCUUAUAC
rnacentral:rRNA from 1 species